rnacentral:rRNA from 1 species
AUUGAACGCUGGCGGAAUGCUUUACACAUGCAAGUCGAACGGCAGCACGGGGGCAACCCUGGUGGCGCGUGGCGAACGGGUGAGUAAUACAUCGGAACGUGCCCUGCCGUGGGGGAUAACGUAGCUUAAGUUACCCUAAUACCGCAUACGAUCUGAUGAUGAAAGCGGGGGACCUUCGGGCCUCGCGCGUUCUGCGCGCCCGUUGUCAGAUUAGGUAGUUGGUGGGGUAAAGGCUUACCAAGCCGACGAUCUGUAGCUGGUCUGAGAGGACGACCAGCCACACUGGGACUGAGACACGGCCCAGACUCCUACGGGAGGCAGCAGUGGGGAAUCUUCGACAAUGGGCGCAAGCCUGAUCCAGCCAUGCCGCGUGCAGGACGAAGGCCUUCGGGUUGUAAACUGCUUUUGUAUGGAACGAAAAGGCUCUGGCUAAUACCUGGGGCUCAUGACGGUACCGUAAGAAUAAGCACCGGCUAACUACGUG